rnacentral:rRNA from 1 species
UACGUAGGGACCGAGCGUUGUCCGGAUUCAUUGGGCGUAAAGAGCUCGUAGGCGGCUGUUCAAGUCGAACGUGAAAACUCGGAGCUCAACUCCGAGCCUGCGUUCGAGACUGGAUGGCUAGAGUCUGGUAGGGGGAUCUGGAAUUCCUGGUGUAGCGGUGGAAUGCGCAGAUAUCAGGAGGAACACCAGUGGCGAAGGCGGUGCUCUGGGCUGGAACUGACACUGAGGAGCGAAAGCGUGGGUAGCAAACAGG